UAAUUAUGAAUAAUGAAAAUAUUUUCACAAAUACAAAGAUAUAAAAAAAUUAAACUCUUCACAAACUUUUUUUUUUUUUACAGGCUUCUUUGGUUGCCCAGUGAUGUGAUCAAGCUUCCCUGUGGCUGCCAUUCCUGUUGGGUGGACUGUGGUGAAUGUUGGCAUUCCUUUCCUGUUUGCACGCACAGUCCCACAGGCUCCAGUGCCAAGAGACAGGAGGUGAUGGAAAAGUGUGGGACUGCUGUACCAGUUGUCCACAUAAAGGACAUGACCCUUUUUAAGAUGGAAUGAACUGCCGAAAUGGCAGCCUGCCUUUCCACUUCAUCAGGAACUCAUCCACGCAGAGAUCUCUGUAUGGCACAAAGAUGCGACGAAAGGAGGAGGUGAGAGUACUGAAUAUUUUUCUGAUUUUUUUCAGAGGGUCAUUUAAAAUUUCUGUUGUGUUGCAGCUAGACUUUUGACGGGCACCAAAAAAAGAGAGCACAUCACUCCUGUGCUGCGUUCUCUUCAUUGGUUACCAGACAAGUUUAGGAUUGAUUUCAAGAUUUUACUGGUUGUUUUUAAAGCUUUACAUAAUUUGUCUCCAAAUUAUAUUUCCAAUCUUAUAGAGCCCUUCAUUUCAGUUAGGUCUUUAAGAUCAUCAAAUCAACUGUUGCUAGUUAGUCCUCAGUCCAAAAAGAAGUCAAAAGGUGAUCGUGCUUUCUCAGUAGCAGGCCCUAAACUGUGGAACAAUCUCCCUCUUUAUAUUCGACAAGCUUCAUCAGUGGAGGUCUUUAGGUCUCAGCUGAAGACUUAUCUGUUUAGCUUGGCUUUUUAAGUAGCUCUUGUUUACUUUCUGUACUUGUAAAUUUGUAUGUCUACUAUGUUUUUAUUCUACACUGUGAAGCACUUUGGGCAACGAAGUUGUGUAUAAAUGUGCUAUACAAAUAAAUUUAAGUUGAAGUUGUUUGCAAAGUGAAGGUGGCAGAGGAGUAUGAGAAAGCGGUCCUGUGAAAACAAAGACCGGAACAAUGGUGUCAAGAGCAUGGGGUCUGUGCUCCAAUUAUCCCGGAGUGACGGUUUUUUGACCAUCCCCAUUAGGAGAACUGAUGCCAGAAAUGUGUACAUUUCAGGGAUGGUUGUAGGAACCCAUUUAACCAUUUUUCCUUUCAUCUCUCCUUGUAUUUCUGAGGCAUAGCGGUUUGUUUCCUCAACAAUUUCUCCAACAACAUCUUCUGUGAGGAACAUUUUAAAACAGUUAACCUCACUGGGGGAUUCUGGAGGAUCUUGCACUCCACACAGUUGGUCAUCAAAAUCCCCUGGGCCUGGAGGAUUAAAAAGGUUUGUUACCUUCCAGGAUGAUGGGUUUGUCCUGUCUGCCUCAGCAAAAACAUGGGCAGGUGUUGUGGAAGUCUCUUCAUCUUCAGUUCUGUCAAGAGCUUCAAGGUUUGAGGGAAGGUCUUUAUCGCUGUCACUGUCUGCCUCACUGUCAAAAUCCUCAUCAGAAUUAAAAAAAUCUCCACAAUUUCCUCGUUUGUGAAUUUUCUCCUUUUAAAAUGAUUGUCAGACAUUUUUAUUUAUUUAAUUAAUGAAAAACUGUUUUGAAUUUUUUGUAAAUUUAGCAAAUAAGGCGAGGCCAGUGUGAGGUAAAAGUGACGUCAGCUUGAUGUCACUCCUUACUGGGAAUAAAAGACUGCAAUGCAUGCCUGUUUUAUAUAUUUUAUUAUUUUUUUAAUACAAAAUAUUUACAAACAUUUUAAAUACAUUGUUAAAUGUUUGGUAUUAGGACAGUUUAAUAUAUACAAGUCAAUUCCUGUUAGUUGAUCGAUAAAUUAUCAUGGGCUAUGGGUGAGUGAUCCCAUUGGCUCAACGAACUUUUAAUGGGUAUUAUUUUGAGCGCCUGAUUACAAUUCCUGCAAAAUCUGGCUUUGAUUUGUUGUUUGAACUUUAAUUUACAUGUUUCAUACAAUAGUAUAUAACCGAAGCUAUGGGUUGUGAAAUCAAACAUUUCUCGUUUUUAUUUUUACAGAUUACAAUCUGUAUGUUGCUUUUACAAAAUUAUUUUACCAUGAAAAAAAAAAAGCUAACGCAGCUCCGAUUAGCCAUACAACAAGUUAUCGCGACAACUUUUGAUCAGGCAUUUAAAACUUGGUCUUGGUCUUUUGACUUUUGUCUUGGUCCUGAGCAGACAAAAUUUCGAUUUCUCAUGACACUGCCAUUAUUUAUUUUACAACUGUCAGAGUAGAAGCCACCUGGAUUUACAAUGCAUAAGAUCACCCACUCCUCCCGAAAAAAAAAAAAAAAAACAUGUAAGUUGCUGGAAAACUGGCAGAGGAACAGACCUAGCUAUAUCUAAACAUUGUGUUUUUGAUGUGAAUAAAACCUCACGAUAUGUUUGAAAGGUUAUUUUAUAGAGAUCAGUGUAAGAUUCUAAAAUACAUAUAGUUUUUCCUACUAUUUGUGUGACUGUAAUGUAAUUUAAAAUGUAUAAAAAAAUAAAAUAAACAUGCUUAAAACCCCUGAAGGUGUCCGUCUCUGGAUCAGUGCCAAUCAAAUCGGGAAAGCAGAUUUAAAUUCAGCAGUUGAUGACGUGACGCACUGAAAGUUCUAAUCACACCGGUGUGAUCGUACUCUUCAGGGACCAGCCAAGACUGAUCACACCGAUGUGA